rnacentral:rRNA from 1 species
GACGAACGCUGGCGGCGUGCUUAACACAUGCAAGUCGAACGGAAAGGCCCUGCUUUUGUGGGGUGCUCGAGUGGCGAACGGGUGAGUAACACGUGAGUAACCUGCCCUUGACUUUGGGAUAACUUCAGGAAACUUGGGCUAAUACCGGAUAGGUGCUCCUGCUGCAUGGUGGGGGUUGGAAAGUUUCGGCGGUUGGGGAUGGACUCGCGGCUUAUCAGCUUGUUGGUGGGGUAGUGGCUUACCAAGGCUUUGACGGGUAGCCGGCCUGAGAGGGUGACCGGACACAUUGGGACUGAGAUACGGCCCAGACUCCAACGGGAGGCAGCAGUGGGGAAUAUUGCACAAUGGGCGGAAGCCUGAUGCAGCAACGCCGCGUGCGGGAUGACGGCCUUCGGGUUGUAAACCGAUUUCGCCUGUGACGAAGCGUGAGUGACGGUAAUGGGUAAAGAAGCACCGGCUAACUACGUG